rnacentral:lncRNA from 10 species
UGUCCUAGCUAACUCGAUGACACAGGAUGAACCUCUCACCCAAAACUGGGUUUAGAUAUCCGAAUUGAUAAGACUCACACACAACUCAAGAGGGUAUAAAUAUGUUUACUGCUCACAUAAUGAAGAUUUCCGGGGAAAGCAAGGCAGCUCCAAAGCAGGUCCAAAAAUGGCUUAAGAGAAUGAAAAAAGAAAAUGGACUUGUGGUUUUGAAGGUAGUUAGGAGUGUGGCUGGGAUGAGCAUUCCAUUGCAUGGUUUUAAUUUCCUGCUCCUGCACCAAAGGAUGGAGUACCCACAUUUUCUUAUCAUAUUGUCUAUAUGUGAGGUAGAAAUGGAAGCGUGAGCUAUGGAACUUGAAAGCUGUCAGAAGUCAAAUAUCAAAAAUGAAUGAUGCCUUUUAGACACAUAGCUUGAACUACAGAAUAUGGCUGAACUAUGAUGCAAGAUAAACACCUGCCUUUAUUGUCCAAGAUUAAACAAAGUAUCUCCUUAAGGCAUUUCAGCCCCGCAUCAACUAUAGCUUCUAGAGACCAUAGACUUCUACCAAUUUUUCAUUCGUUGCAAAAAAGUAAUUGAGAGAUUGAGAGGCUACAUAGGGACUGCAAGAUAGCAAGCAAGGCCUUUUGGAAUAUAAGCUUUUAGGUGUUAAAGUUGCAUUUUAGCUUUAGGUUUGAAAUUGCAUUUAUUAGUGUACUUAGGCAAAUUUCAUGUUGAAUAUGAAUGAAUAUUGCA